GAGCAUGAAUCUGAAUAUAUAGGAUACGUAAUUGUAGAUUAAUAAUUACAAUUUUUUUUUUUUUUUUUUGUUUGAAAGUUGAAAUUGUAAUAAGUACAAUGUUCUUAACCAAUAAGGAUGAAGAUUGUAUCAAAUCAGUAACAAUGAACUUUAUUUCCCCUGAUAAGAUAGUCAAAGAGAGUAACUGGCAAAAAUUUUAAUAUAAUAAAUUAAUUAGAUAAUAGAUGAAAAACCUUGAUCCCACGAUAAAUCCCAGAGCGAGCCCCCCAUUAUCUGACUUAAUUUUGCCUGAAGUGCAUGUUAACCUUGAGGACGAUGAAGCUGUGAAGAAGAUGAACCUCACAGUCACCGAUAAGAUGCUUACUCAGGCUUCCUAUUUAAUGCUCUCAGAUGUACACACAGAAAACUUCGGCAAGGAAACCACCGACCGGGUGCUUCGCGAGGCCAGCCGCGGUUGGUUCAGCUCAUGGAUUCCUUGGUUCUAGGACCUACUGAUUGGAGCCCUUGAAACCUGUUCCCAUCAAUGCACUGCUUGCAGUUAAAGGAACGCCUCUGGAAGAUCAGAAGCCAGUUGAAAUAUGGGAGAUGAUUUGGAUGAUUGCCACAGCCCGUAUCGUGAUGCCAAAAGCAAUGAUGUGGCUGUCAGCUGGCAGAGUUCGGUUCUCUUUGCCAAAGCAGGCAUUGUGCUUUCUUGCAGGCGCAAAUUCCAUAUUCACCGGCAAGAGGCUCCCGGACAACUACCAACAAUGAUUUUGAUGCUGAUCAACUCAUGUUCAACGUGCUUGGACUUACUCCUAAACCCCUCCAGUUUUUCUGACAGCACAGAGGAUUUUGAAACAGAAAAUAUAGAGCAAGCUGUUUCCAGUUCAGGUUGAGAUUACCGUAUCAAGGGUUUUUUUUUACUUUUUUUUUGGUUUGUUACCAAGAUCAUUUAAUGUUAUAAGUUAUAACUAUUGAAUCUCUCUCUACUACAUGCGCACAAAUGCUCUGUUGUGUUUCUGCUCUCUGUGCGUACUUUGAACUUGGCUUUUCUUAUUUACUGAUAACUAUAAGCCUGC